CGCUGGCGGCAUGCCUUACACAUGCAAGUCGAACGGCAGCACGGGAGCAAUCCUGGUGGCGAGUGGCGAACGGGUGAGUAAUAUAUCGGAACGUGCCCAGUCGUGGGGGAUAACGUAGCGAAAGCUACGCUAAUACCGCAUACGAUCUAUGGAUGAAAGCGGGGGAUCGCAAGACCUCGCGCGAUUGGAGCGGCCGAUAUCAGAUUAGGUAGUUGGUGAGGUAAAGGCUCACCAAGCCGACGAUCUGUAGCUGGUCUGAGAGGAUGAUCAGCCACACUGGGACUGAGACACGGCCCAGACUCCUACGGGAGGCAGCAGUGGGGAAUAUUGGACAAUGGGCGAAAGCCUGAUCCAGCAAUGCCGCGUGAGUGAUGAAGGCCUUCGGGUUGUAAAGCUCUUUUACUCGGGACGAUAAUGACGGUACCGAGAGAAUAAGCCCCGGCUAACACCGUG
rnacentral:rRNA from 1 species